AUCCCUUGAAGCACACCACAACACCCUCCCUUUUUCUUUCUCUCUGCCUCAGCCCUCAGGCGACAAGCAAGAACAAGGGCCCAGAUGUGGUUCUCUUUUUUUCUCUAUCUUCCUCUCCAUGCGUGUCUCAUUCUCAGGUCUACCAAUUGAAUGAUGAUGGAAAAUGGGAUGAUCAAGGUUGGGCAUGUCACUCUUGACAAUUUGGAGCAUUGACUGCAACUCCUCCAGCUAGAACAACCUCCUCAAGUUCUUGAAUGGUUUGGCUAAGCUUUUCCAGCUGAUAAAGUUAUAAUUAGCUAAGCAAAUGGACUCACAACAAAGACAAGUGCACAAAGGAUGAUGAAUUGAAGGAUGGAGCAAGUUUCGUUUACUUUUGUGUAUCUUGUAAUGUUUCUAUUUUUCAUUUUUGAAGUAAAAAUUGUUCAAAAUUAUAAAACUUUAUUAUGUUAUGCUUUCAAACUUAAGUUAGAACUAAGAUCUCAUGAAGUAGACACAUUCAUGGUUUGAAUUAGUUAUUGUUUAAUGUAAUACUUAUGGUUUAUCAAUCUAUUGAG